rnacentral:snRNA from 1 species
GGAGGUGAGGGCUAUCUGGCUGUGACAUCUGUCACCCCACUGAUCACCAGGGUUGAUUCGCCUGAUCUGGCUGGCUAGGCGUGAGACCCCUUCCUCCCUCACCGCCCCACGUGCAUUCCUCCUGAAGCCGUGCACUGGUCAAAGAGGACAACCUUCCCUGAUAGAGGAAGAUCAUUCUUCAGUCAAGGGUAUACAAUACAAGUAGCUGUGCUCCACUGCUAGAACCUCCAAACAAGUUCUUAAGACUAGCAUUCUCCUACACUAUUUUGAUGUUACUUAAUGUUAAGAAACUAUAAACUCAUUCCAUAAAGUUCGGAACACUACAAAGAUG